GCCUUGAUAGUAUAAACAUUACUUUGGUCUUGUAAACCAAGAAUGAGAAGCCAUUCUCUCAAGACA
rnacentral:tRNA from 1 species